GUUCUUGCUUUGACAGCACAUAUACUAAAAUUGAAAUGAUACAGAGAAGAUUAGCAUGGCCCCUGCACAAGGAUGAAUGGAAAUCCCACACAUAUACUUAU
rnacentral:snRNA from 1 species